rnacentral:rRNA from 1 species
GAUGAACGCUGGCGGCGUGCCUAAUACAUGCAAGUCGAGCGAACAGACGAGGAGCUUACUCCUCUGACGUUAGCGGCGGACGGGUGAGUAACACGUGGAUAACCUACCUAUAAGACUGGGAUAACUUCGGGAAACCGGAGCUAAUACCGGAUAACAUGUUGAACCGCAUGGUUCAACAGUGAAAGACGGUCUUGCUGUCACUUAUAGGUGGAUCCGCGUCGCAUUAGCUAGUUGGUAAGGUAACGGCUUACCAAGGCAACGAUGCGUAGCCGACCUGAGAGGGUGAUCGGCCACACUGGAACUGAGACACGGUCCAGACUCCUACGGGAGGCAGCAGUAGGGAAUCUUCCGCAAUGGGCGAAAGCCUGACGGAGCAACGCCGCGUGAGUGAAGAAGGUCUUCGGAUCGUAAAACUCUGUUAUUAGGGAAGAACAAAUGUGUAAGUAACUAUGCACGUCUUGACGGUACCUAAUCAGAAAGCCACGGCUAACUACGUG